rnacentral:rRNA from 1 species
CCUACGGGAGGCAGCAGUGGGGAAUAUUGGACAAUGGGCGAAAGCCUGAUCCAGCCAUGCCGCGUGUGUGAAGAAGGCCUUCGGGUUGUAAAGCACUUUCAGUGGGGAAGAAAGCCUUGGGGCUAAUACCCUCGAGGAAGGACAUCACCCACAGAAGAAGCACCGGCUAACUCCGUGCCAGCAGCCGCGGUAAUACGGAGGGUGCGAGCGUUAAUCGGAAUUACUGGGCGUAAAGCGCGCGUAGGCGGUCUGAUAAGCCGGUUGUGAAGGCCCCGGGCUCAACCUGGGAACGGCAUCCGGAACUGGCAGGCUAGAGUGCAGGAGAGGAAGGUAGAAUUCCCGGUGUAGCGGUGAAAUGCGUAGAGAUCGGGAGGAAUACCAGUGGCGAAGGCGGCCUUCUGGACUGAAACUGACGCUGAGGUGCGAAAGCGUGGGUAGCAAACAGGAUUAGAUACCCGGGUAGUC